rnacentral:rRNA from 1 species
UACGUAGGGGGCAAGCGUUGUUCGGAUUUACUGGGCGUAAAGCGCACGUAGGCGGAUCGAUCAGUCAGGGGUGAAAUCCCAGGGCUCAACUCUGGAACUGCCUUUGAUACUGUCGAUCUGGAGUAUGGAAGAGGUGAGUGGAAUUCCGAGUGUAGAGGUGAAAUUCGUAGAUAUUCGGAGGAACACCAGUGGCGAAGGGCG